CCUACGGGAGGCAGCAGUGGGGAAUAUUGGACAAUGGGGGGAACCCUGAUCCAGCCAUGCCGCGUGUGUGAAGAAGGCCUUUUGGUUGUAAAGCACUUUAAGCGGGGAGGAGGCUACUUAGAUUAAUACUCUAGGAUAGUGGACGUUACCCGCAGAAUAAGCACCGGCUAACUCUGUGCCAGCAGCCGCGGUAAUACAGAGGGUGCAAGCGUUAAUCGGAUUUACUGGGCGUAAAGCGUGCGUAGGUGGUCUUUUAAGUCGGAUGUGAAAUCCCUGAGCUUAACUUAGGAAUUGCAUUCGAUACUGGGAGACUAGAGUAUGGGAGAGGAUGGUAGAAUUCCAGGUGUAGCGGUGAAAUGCGUAGAGAUCUGGAGGAAUACUGAUGGCGAAGGCAGCCAUCUGGCCUAAUACUGACACUGAGGCACGAAAGCAUGGGGA
rnacentral:rRNA from 1 species